rnacentral:lncRNA from 1 species
UACCAUCGGAGCUGUCAUGGAUUCGUUUGUGUUGUCGAUCAAGUAAAAAAGAAGUCAGUAGAAUAAUUAUUAUGUGGCCGAGGAGCGAGCCGGAAAGGUAAAAAGCCAGUGGAUGAAAAGAAAUCUCCCCCAACCCAUCAGGGAUCGAUAAGUCCAUCUUUUCCAGAACGAGUACAGUACACCAUCGCAUGCAGCAGGUACCAAAAUCUCUGCCUUGCCAUCGAGCGACGGUUACUAGUGGAGUACCCAACUGGGAUGGGCUGUCCCCAACUCAAAGAGUAAAAGAAGAGGGAUGGAGGAGGAGGAGGAGGAGCAGCAUGUGAAUCUCUGCAUUUGGAGGUCAGACAAGAUGGUCCUGCAAGAAAAAGUCAAGGGGAGAAAUAGUUGCAGGACAGCAACCCCUCGGUGCAUGCUAUUCAUCCAUCGCACGACAUUUGAGGAGGAGAGGGGAGAGGGGAGAGGUGGGAGGUCGGUAAAAAAGAAGAAGAAAGGAGAGAAAAAUGUUUUGCCUUGUCGAUGAGUAGGUUGAAGCAAAGAUCAUGUUGUAGAGAAAUGAAUGCACAUCAGCAUUAAUAUCCAGUGUCGGUCGGUAGGUAGGUUGGUAGUGGGGGAAAGUAUAUAUUCUUUGCGACGACAACAUCAUCAUCAUCGUCAGCGUCUUUUACAAGCAUAUCAAGAACAGGGAUCUGGACAUCGCAUGUGAGACAUGAUCGCUUGCUUCCGGUUGCAGAUUCAUGAAUCCUCAAGUUUUAGGAAGAGAAGCCUCAUCCGCGAGCAGUGUCAUACAGUGAGAUCACUGUGCUAUACGAAGCAUCGCAUGCCGAGGAGGAUCCGAGCACCGAGUCGCAAGGAUACGGCACUGUCGCUGACCCGCUGCGGUACUUGGCCUUUGGACGACAAGCAGAGAUGUGCCUGUGCACACGCACACGCACAGUGAAGUCCUCGUGGUAAAAGAGACGGAGAACUUUGUUGUUGGGUCAGCUCGGCUCGAGUAUGAACUUUCGCCCUCGGAGGGAGGGCAUCGCAGCAGAGUUAAAAACCAGGGCGAACAUCAUCAUCAUCAUCAUCAUCCGGUCGCGUUGCAAAGUGUUCAGAAAAGUCCACACAGAAUUGGUUUGUAGGGCACAAGUGCAUGUGAAAGACCUCUGUCCCAUCCAUGCACAUGUACAGAAUUCUUUUUUCCUCUCUUGCGGGGUUUCUUCCCCCUUCCAAGUUGAUGGUAUGCAUAGAUACAUCAAGUCGAUGAUUUGGAUGAUGCAGGGUCCUCCGCGUGUCACAUCCCCCCACCCCCCGGGGAUAAAUAAGCGUGUAGCA